rnacentral:tRNA from 1 species
GCCUUCGUGAUAUAACGGUUAGCAAACUCGGCUGGUAUUCGAGAGGUUCAGGUUCGAAUUCCGGUGAUGGCA